CACUUCCGCCAGUUAACUGUACAUGCUGGAGGAGAUUGUCAUUGAAAUGUAAUGAGCUGCUGUCAUUUACAGAUACGGAAGAUACUUAUGGAGAGGUGGUGGAGACCGACACACACAAUGAAGAAGAAACUAUGUAAACAGUUUAUGCCGAGAGAGAAAUUGGUACGUGUACUCUGAACGGAUAGAAUAUAAAUGGCAACAGGAUAUUAAAGAUCAGACGACAUUGGGUACAACUGGACACCGUCGUCAAUGCCAGUGCCACACCUGUACUUCUGACACUAAACGCAAAAUGCAUCGAAAAAAAAACAGUGAAGCAAGUACAUACUAGUAUACAUCGUUUCAUAUUUUAUCGAACAUUGCAAAAGGAAAAAUGCAUUAACAAAUCUAUUAUCGAGGAGACAUUGUUUUGGACUUGUUUGUCCGUCCGUAAGACAUGGAUUAAUGUACUUGAGAACAAAAUGGUAGAACAUCAUACUACGGAAAGACCGUCAGAUUGCUUGAAAUCAUAGCCCUUCGUAACCAAAUGGAAUUAACUGUUUUCAAAGAACACGGUAUUCUUUAUGCCGAACUUGGUACAUACGUAACUUUUUUGACACAUACGUUGCUUUUUAGUCAAUGUCAAGUUUACUGUUAUUUAAAACUACAAGACUGUGUUUUGCUCAGUAACGUUUAGCAGCAUUAGGUUUGAUGCUUAUGAUAGAUCGGUUUCUAACAUCUAGUGUUAUCAGACGUUUAAUGAUGUUUUCAUGCUAGGAUCAACAUUAUAUACUGUUAAAACAGCACACAG
rnacentral:lncRNA from 1 species